rnacentral:misc_RNA from 1 species
AAGUCGUAACAAGGUUUCCGUAGGUGAACCUGCGGAAGGAUCAUUACCAAAUCCAAAACUUUAUCAACACCAAACAAGUGAACUGAGAAUGGUUUCGUUCCCCUCUGCAUGUGCAUACAAUGUGUUUCCACAUUCGUGCGUGUGCGAAGGGGGAUGUUUUUUUUUUCAACCCCUUUUCAACCUCUUACAAUCUUUUAUGCUGAAAGCAAAAAAAACGAAACAUGAGACAACUUUUAACGGUGGAUCUCUUGGCUCGU